AGAUAGUCCAGGUGCUUGUCCUUGAUGGUGUCUGUCUCCAUGGAGGAUAGUGGAUUCUGGAACCAGGAAGCCGGAGAGGGCACGUAAGUGCAAGACUUUCACUAUGGUAGACACUUAGAAGUGGGAUGACUGGAUCAUACCGGGUGUGAAGGUUCAUCUUUACAAGAUAGUGCCAAAUGGCUUGCCACAGUGGUGUACCAAUUCACGCUCGCACUAAUAGUCUCUUGGAGGAGAAGGGUGCCUGGGAAUUAAAUUAUUACACUGGGAAACUUGGUCAUUAUAAUUAAAAUGCCUAAAAGAUAAAUCUGCAUGCUCUUGCAAAGACCAUAGAAGAGAAAUAAGAGCCUUUAAGAUGAGCUCCUGUUUUUACCCUGUCUACUCAGCCACAAGUUUUCUGAAAUGCCUUAGUUCAUCCCUAAUGCAGUUUCUUUUGUUGACCAUCUGUACAGAAGCAAAGAUCUCAUUUGGAUUCUCCAAACUACAAAAUGAUAAGCUUGUAA
rnacentral:lncRNA from 1 species